CCUACGGGUGGCAGCAGUGAGGAAUAUUGGUCAAUGGGCGCGAGCCUGAACCAGCCAAGUAGCGUGAAGGAUGACUGCCCUACGGGUUGUAAACUUCUUUUAUAAAGGAAUAAAGUGAGGCACGUGUGCCUUUUUGUAUGUACUUUAUGAAUAAGGAUCGGCUAACUCCGUGCCAGCAGCCGCGGUAAUACGGAGGAUCCGAGCGUUAUCCGGAUUUAUUGGGUUUAAAGGGAGCGUAGAUGGGUUGUUAAGUCAGUUGUGAAAGUUGGGGGCUCAACCGUAAAAUUGCAAUUGAUACUGGCAGUCUUGAGUACAGUUGAGGUAGGCGGAAUGCGUGGUGUAGCGGUGAAAUGCGUAGAUAUUAGGAGGAACACCAGUGGCGAAGGCAGUCUGCUGGACAGCAACUGACGGUGAGGCGCGAAAGCGUGGGGAGCAAACAGGAUUAGAUACCCUAGUAGUC
rnacentral:rRNA from 1 species